rnacentral:rRNA from 1 species
UACGAAGGGGGGCUAGCGUUGUUCGGAUUUACUGGGCGUAAAGGGCGCGUAGGCGGCCAGCGCAAGUCGGUUGUGAAAUCUCCGGGCUUAACUCGGAAAGGUCAACUGAUACUGCGCGGCUAGAGUGCAGAAGGGGCAACUGGAAUUCUCGGUGUAGCGGUGAAAUGCGUAGAUAUCGAGAGGAACACCUGCGGCGAAGGCGGGUUGCUGGGCUGACACUGACGCUGAGUGCGCGAAAGCCAGGGGAGCGAACGGG